rnacentral:tRNA from 1 species
UGCCCGUUGGUCCAGCUGGCACGACACCGCGCUCUGAUCGCGGAGAUCCGAGGUUCGAAUCCUCGACGGGCAGC